CCCGCUGAGUUUAAGCAUAUAAAUAAGCGGAGGAGAAGAAACUUACGAGGAUUCCUAACUAGAAAAAAUACUAACUCUGGGA
rnacentral:rRNA from 1 species